ACGGGAGGCAGCAGUAGGGAAUAUUGGUCAAUGGAGGAAACUCUGAACCAGCAACACCGCGUGAAUGAUGAAGGUCUUCGGAUUGUAAAGUUCUGUGAUGGGGGACGAAAAAAAUGACGGUACCCCAAGAGCAAGCCACGGCUAACUACGUGCCAGCAGCCGCGGUAAUACGUAGGUGGCAAGCGUUGUCCGGAAUGACUGGGCGUAAAGGGUACGUAGGUGGCCAUUCAAGUUAGUAGUGAAAUCCCGGGGCUUAACUCCGGUGCUACUGCUAAGACUGUGUGGCUUGAGUGCAGGAGGGGUAAGUGGAAUUCCUAGUGUAGCGGUGGAAUGCGUAGAUAUUAGGAAGAACACCAGUGGCGAAGGCGACUUACUGGACUGUAACUGACACUGAAGUACGAAAGCGUGGGGAGCAAACAGGAUUAGAUACCCUGGUA
rnacentral:rRNA from 1 species